AUGUUCGCUUUGGCAGCACAUACACUAAAAUUGGAAUGAUGGAGAAUAUUAGCAUGACCCCUGCACAAGGAUGAUACACAAAUUCGUGAAGCGUUCUAUAUUUUU
ensembl:snRNA U6 U6 spliceosomal RNA